rnacentral:rRNA from 1 species
CCUACGGGAGGCAGCAGUGGGGAAUAUUGGGCAAUGGGCGCAAGCCUGACCCAGCAACGCCGCGUGCAGGAAGAAGGCUUUCGGGUUGUAAACUUCUUUUGUCAGGGACGAAGCAAGUGACGGUACCUGACGAAUAAGCCACGGCUAACUACGUGCAAGCAGCCGCGGCAAUACGUAGGUGGCAAGCGUUAUCCGGAUUUACUCGGUGUAAAGGGCGUGUAGGCGGGGAGGCAAGUAAGAGGUGAAAACUAGGGGUGAAAACUGUGGCCUGCAUUUGACACUGUUUUGCUUGUGGGCUGGUGAGGCAAGCGGAAUGCCGGGGGUAGCGGUGAAAUGCGUAGAUAUACGGAGGAACACCAGUGGCGAAGGCGGAUUGCUGGACAGUAACUGACGCUGAGGCGCGAAAGCGUGGGGAGCAAACAGGAUUAGAUACCCUGGUAGUC